rnacentral:rRNA from 1 species
AUUGAACGCUGGCGGCAGGCCUAACACAUGCAAGUCGAGCGGAUGAGUGGAGCUUGCUCCAUGAUUCAGCGGCGGACGGGUGAGUAAUGCCUAGGAAUCUGCCUGGUAGUGGGGGACAACGUUUCGAAAGGAACGCUAAUACCGCAUACGUCCUACGGGAGAAAUCAGGGGACCUUCGGGCCUUGCGCUAUCAGAUGAGCCUAGGUCGGAUUAGCUAGUAGGUGGGGUAAAGGCUCACCUAGGCGACGAUCCGUAACUGGUCUGAGAGGAUGAUCCGUCAACCUGGAACUGAGACACGGUCCAGACUCCUACGGGAGGCAGCAGUGGGGAAUAUUGGACAAUGGGCGAAAGCCUGAUCCAGCCAUGCCGCGUGUGUGAAGAAGGUCUUCGGAUUGUAAAGCACUUUAAGUUGGGAGGAAGGGCAGUAAGUUAAUACCUUGCUGUUUUGACGUUACCAACAGAAUAAGCACCGGCUAACUUCGUGCCAGCCGCCGCCGUAA